GGCGACGGAGGCAGCUAAGUCCAUUUAUGCUUCAUUGGGAAAGGAAAUUGAGACAGUACAUAAUCAAACUACUGAACUUCUCCAAAGAUUCUCAGGAGAAACUCAUAAAGUUAAAAUGUUGGUUGAUUCCGGAUACUUGAUUCCGCGUGACUUUCAGUAUACUUAUGAUUGUAGUUUUGUAGGUUUCUUUAGAAAAUUGGUUCAUGCAGAUGUUAGUUGCAUUAUGAGAUGGAACCCUUUCCAUUGGCUUAAGGAAGGAUUGCUAUAUGUAUGUUGUUUUGUAUUAUUUGUAUUAUGUAUUAAGGUUUGUUUAAAGAUCAAUAAGUCUGCAGGAAAGAAAACUUACAUUAAAAUGAAUAAACUUCAACAUUACAGGGACCAUGAAGCGAAAGGCACUAAGAAAAUCAAAUUCAAGAAGGAGAAGGACGGAAAGAUUGAGGAAUUAUUCUGAACAGUUGCACUAUGCAAAUUGUCAUCUUUGCAUCGAAUUUCAUAAUUUCUUGAGGAACUAUGUCUGUGGACCAGAUAAUCAUCAAACGGAUAUUAGGACGCAAGCUGAGGAACGACCUAUUAUUCAGGAAGGACCGGAUGACUCCAAUUCCGAUGUUCUCUGAAAAAGAUGUUAAUUAUCCAUUUAUGAUAGUUCACAAUUUGGUGAUAGAUUUGGAUCUAGUAAAGGAUUUGGAUUUGGACAUUUAUUUACGAUUGAAACAACUUUUCGUUCCAAGAGUGAAAGCUCCCUUCUGCUGUGAGUUUCGUGCUAUGCUUCAGCCUUUUCUGCACUCCUGUGUGGUCGGUGGCUGCAUGGAUGCCGUGGAUUGCAUCUUCCAAUCUGAAGAUUGGUUUGCAGGGCCGCGACAGCCCAUACGUUUCCCCGAGGACGGGCAACUUCCGAAUGGACGACCUAAGACAGGGGACCGUACUUGUCGCUUUGAUACAUCGGCACCAUCAGUAACAUCGGCGCCUCCGUAUCAAGGGGGUGGAAUGACAGGAGUAAACAUCAAGGAUGAACAAACAACAUGAAUCAGCAAAAGGACUUGUUUUGGACUUGUUUUGGACUUUGCAGUGACUAAGUGACUUUUUAGUUGUAAACAUGUUUUUGGCUAUAGGAUGACUAGAUAGUAUGCCCAUGUUAGAUAAGUUGAUGAUGUAACUAGGUAGUGUGCUUAUGUUAGAUAAGUUAGACACAAACAAGUUUGUUGUAAACAUAUAGAGUAUAUAAGCGCGAGGGAAACUCCAUGUAUUUGCUCACAAUCAACUCUCAUCGCCUGAGAGUAAGAUCGUGCAGUGUGAGCCAGUCACCUCGUGUAUUGCUUUGUGUGGUGUGCGAAUAAACCAGCAUUUCAAAAGGCAA